AACGAACGCUGGCGGCAGGCCUAACACAUGCAAGUCGAGCGCCCUUUCGGGGGAGCGGCGGACGGGUGAGUAACGCGUGGGAAUAUGCCCUUCUCUACGGAAUAGCCUCGGGAAACUGAGAGUAAUACCGUAUACGCCCUUUGGGGGAAAGAUUUAUCGGGGAAGGAUUAGCCCGCGUUGGAUUAGGUAGUUGGUGGGGUAAUGGCCUACCAAGCCGACGAUCCAUAGCUGGUUUGAGAGGAUGAUCAGCCACACUGGGACUGAGACACGGCCCAGACUCCCACGGGAGGGAGGAGGUGGGAAUCCUAGAAAAAUGGGGCAAACCCGAUCCAGCCAAGGCGGGUUAGGGAUGAAGGCCUUAGGGUUGUAAAGCCUCUUUAGCCUGGAAGAUAAUGACGGUACCAGCAGAAGAAGCCCCGGCUAACUCCGUG
rnacentral:rRNA from 1 species